ACUGGGAUCAUAGACAGGAGACUACUUUUUAACAUUAAAUUAUUGGAGGCUGUGAUGCUUUUAAUUUUUUUCUUUUUUUAUCUUUUAAGACAGGGUUUUGCUAUAUAAUCCUGGUCAGCCUGGAACUUACUCUGUAGACUGACCUGGCCUUAUAUUUGCUUUAAUCCUGCAGCCUCUGCUUCAUGAAUUGUGGGAUUAUAGGCAGAGUGGGAUAUAUUUAAGGAAAUAUAUUGUUUUUUACAAUUCAGUUACAUGGGUAUAUAAGUAAAUUGACUAUUGCAUUGUAGUGGAGUAAGCUUAGGAGCAAUGCAAACUCUGCAAGAGUAAAAAGUGGAGAUAAGGGCUGGAGAGAUGGCUCAGAGGUUAAGAGCACUGUUCUUCCAGAGGUCCUGAGUUCAAUUCCCAGCAAACACAUGGUGGCUCACAACCAUCUGUAAUGGGAUCUGAUGCCCUCUUCUGGUGUGUCUGAAGACAGCUACAGUGUACUCACAUACAUAAAAUUAAUAGAUUUUUUUAAAAAAAGUAUAGGGUUGGAAUGGAGCUCAGUGAUAGAGCACUUGGCUAUGGUAGAGCACUUGGCUAUGGUAGAGCACUUAA
rnacentral:lncRNA from 1 species